GUGCUUGCUUCAGCAGCACACAUACUAAAAUUGGAACGAUACAGAGAUUAGCAUGUCCUCUAUGCAAGGAUGACACACAAAUUUGUGAAGCAUUCCAUAUUAAA